rnacentral:rRNA from 1 species
UGGGGAAUAUUGGACAAUGGACCAAAAGUCUGAUCCAGCAAUUCUGUGUGCACGAUGAAGGUCUUCGGAUUGUAAAGUGCUUUCAGUUGGGAAGAAGUAAGUGACGGUACCAACAGAAGAAGCGACGGCUAAAUACGUGCCAGCAGCCGCGGUAAUACGUAUGUCGCAAGCGUUAUCCGGAUUUAUUGGGCGUAAAGCGCGUCUAGGCGGAUUGGUAAGUCUGAUGUUAAAAUGCGGGGCUCAACUCCGUAUUGCGUUGGAAACUGCCAAUCUAGAGUACUGGAGAGGUGGGCGGAACUACAAGUGUAGAGGUGAAAUUCGUAGAUAUUUGUAGGAAUGCCGAUGGAGAAGUCAGCUCACUGGACAGAUACUGACGCUGAAGCGCGAAAGCGUGGGGAGCAAACA